rnacentral:rRNA from 1 species
AGAGUUUGAUCCUGGCUCAGGACGAACGCUGGCGGCGUGCCUAAUACAUGCAAGUCGAGCGGACAGAAGGGAGCUUGCUCCCGGAUGUUAGCGGCGGACGGGUGAGUAACACGUGGGUAACCUGCCUGUAAGACUGGGAUAACUCCGGGAAACCGGAGCUAAUACCGGAUAGUUCCUUGAACCGCAUGGUUCAAGGAUGAAAGACGGUUUCGGCUGUCACUUACAGAUGGACCCGCGGCGCAUUAGCUAGUUGGUGAGGUAACGGCUCACCAAGGCGACGAUGCGUAGCCGACCUGAGAGGGUGAUCGGCCACACUGGGACUGAGACACGGCCCAGACUCCUACGGGAGGCAGCAGUAGGGAAUCUUCCGCAAUGGACGAAAGUCUGACGGAGCAACGCCGCGUGAGUGAUGAAGGUUUUCGGAUCGUAAAGCUCUGUUGUUAGGGAAGAACAAGUGCAAGAGUAACUGCUUGCACCUUGACGGUACCUAACCAGAAAGCCACGGCUAACUACGUGCCAGCAGCCGCGGUAAUACGUAGGUGGCAAGCGUUGUCCGGAAUUAUUGGGCGUAAAGGGCUCGCAGGCGGUUUCUUAAGUCUGAUGUGAAAGCCCCCGGCUCAACCGGGGAGGGUCAUUGGAAACUGGGAAACUUGAGUGCAGAAGAGGAGAGUGGAAUUCCACGUGUAGCGGUGAAAUGCGUAGAGAUGUGGAGGAACACCAGUG